CAAUAGCGUAUAUUAAAGUUGUUGCGGUUAAAAGCUCGUAGUUGGAUUUCUGUUGAGAGCAGCCGGUCCGCACUUGGUGCGUGUAUCUGGUUUGAUCUCGGCAUCCUCUCAAAAUACGUUUCUGCGCUUGAUUGCGUGGAGCGGAGUUUGGGACUUUUACUUUGAGGAAAUUAGAGUGUUCACGGCAGGCAAUCGCCUUGAAUAUAUUAGCAUGGAAUAAUAAUAUAGGAUCUUGGUUCUAUUUUGUUGGUUUCUAGAGCUAAGAUAAUGAUUAAUAGGGACAAUUGGGGGCAUUCGUAUUAACGCGUCAGAGGUGGAAUUCUUGGAUUGCGUUACGACGAACUACUGCGAAAGCAUUUGCCAAGAGUGUUUUCAUUAAUCAAGAACGAAAGUUAGAGGAUCGAAGAUGAUUAGAU
rnacentral:rRNA from 1 species